rnacentral:rRNA from 1 species
GGGUUGUGAGGUUAAGCGACUAAGCGUACACGGUGGAUGCCCUGGCAGUCAGAGGCGAUGAAGGACGUGCUAAUCUGCGAUAAGCGUCGGUAAGGUGAUAUGAACCGUUAUAACCGGCGAUUUCCGAAUGGGGAAACCCAGUGUGAUUCGUCACACUAUCAUUAACUGAAUCCAUAGGUUAAUGAGGCGAACCGGGGGAACUGAAACAUCUAAGUACCCCGAGGAAAAGAAAUCAACCGAGAUUCCCCCAGUAGCGGCGAGCGAACGGGGAGGAGCCCAGAGCCUGAAUCAGUGUGUGUGUUAGUGGAAGCGUCUGGAAAGGCGCGCGAUACAGGGUGACAGCCCCGUACACAAAAAUGCACAUACUGUGAGCUCGAUGAGUAGGGCGGGACACGUGGUAUCCUGUCUGAAUAUGGGGGGACCAUCCUCCAAGGCUAAAUACUCCUGACUGACCGAUAGUGAACCAGUACCGUGAGGGAAAGGCGAAAAGAACCCCGGCGAGGGGAGUGAAAAAGAACCUGAAACCGUGUACGUACAAGCAGUGGGAGCCUCUUUAUGGGGUGACUGCGUACCUUUUGUAUAAUGGGUCAGCGACUUAUAUUCUGUAGCAAGGUUAACCGAAUAGGGGAGCCGAAGGGAAACCGAGUCUUAACUGGGCGUUAAGUUGCAGGGUAUAGACCCGAAACCCGGUGAUCUAGCCAUGGGCAGGUUGAAGGUUGGGUAACACUAACUGGAGGACCGAACCGACUAAUGUUGAAAAAUUAGCGGAUGACUUGUGGCUGGGGGUGAAAGGCCAAUCAAACCGGGAGAUAGCUGGUUCUCCCCGAAAGCUAUUUAGGUAGCGCCUCGUGAAUUCAUCUCCGGGGGUAGAGCACUGUUUCGGCAAGGGGGUCAUCCCGACUUACCAACCCGAUGCAAACUGCGAAUACCGGAGAAUGUUAUCACGGGAGACACACGGCGGGUGCUAACGUCCGUCGUGAAGAGGGAAACAACCCAGACCGCCAGCUAAGGUCCCAAAGUCAUGGUUAAGUGGGAAACGAUGUGGGAAGGCCCAGACAGCCAGGAUGUUGGCUUAGAAGCAGCCAUCAUUUAAAGAAAGCGUAAUAGCUCACUGGUCGAGUCGGCCUGCGCGGAAGAUGUAACGGGGCUAAACCAUGCACCGAAGCUGCGGCAGCGACACUAUGUGUUGUUGGGUAGGGGAGCGUUCUGUAAGCCUGUGAAGGUGUACUGUGAGGUAUGCUGGAGGUAUCAGAAGUGCGAAUGCUGACAUAAGUAACGAUAAAGCGGGUGAAAAGCCCGCUCGCCGGAAGACCAAGGGUUCCUGUCCAACGUUAAUCGGGGCAGGGUGAGUCGACCCCUAAGGCGAGGCCGAAAGGCGUAGUCGAUGGGAAACAGGUUAAUAUUCCUGUACUUGGUGUUACUGCGAAGGGGGGACGGAGAAGGCUAUGUUGGCCGGGCGACGGUUGUCCCGGUUUAAGCGUGUAGGCUGGUUUUCCAGGCAAAUCCGGAAAAUCAAGGCUGAGGCGUGAUGACGAGGCACUACGGUGCUGAAGCAACAAAUGCCCUGCUUCCAGGAAAAGCCUCUAAGCAUCAGGUAACAUCAAAUCGUACCCCAAACCGACACAGGUGGUCAGGUAGAGAAUACCAAGGCGCUUGAGAGAACUCGGGUGAAGGAACUAGGCAAAAUGGUGCCGUAACUUCGGGAGAAGGCACGCUGAUAUGUAGGUGAAGCGACUUGCUCGUGGAGCUGAAAUCAGUCGAAGAUACCAGCUGGCUGCAACUGUUUAUUAAAAACACAGCACUGUGCAAACACGAAAGUGGACGUAUACGGUGUGACGCCUGCCCGGUGCCGGAAGGUUAAUUGAUGGGGUUAGCGGUAACGCGAAGCUCUUGAUCGAAGCCCCGGUAAACGGCGGCCGUAACUAUAACGGUCCUAAGGUAGCGAAAUUCCUUGUCGGGUAAGUUCCGACCUGCACGAAUGGCGUAAUGAUGGCCAGGCUGUCUCCACCCGAGACUCAGUGAAAUUGAACUCGCUGUGAAGAUGCAGUGUACCCGCGGCAAGACGGAAAGACCCCGUGAACCUUUACUAUAGCUUGACACUGAACAUUGAGCCUUGAUGUGUAGGAUAGGUGGGAGGCUUUGAAGUGUGGACGCCAGUCUGCAUGGAGCCGGCCUUGAAAUACCACCCUUUAAUGUUUGAUGUUCUAACGUUGGCCCCUGAUCGGGGUUGCGGACAGUGUCUGGUGGGUAGUUUGACUGGGGCGGUCUCCUCCUAAAGAGUAACGGAGGAGCACGAAGGUUGGCUAAUCCUGGUCGGACAUCAGGAGGUUAGUGCAAUGGCAUAAGCCAGCUUGACUGCGAGCGUGACGGCGCGAGCAGGUGCGAAAGCAGGUCAUAGUGAUCCGGUGGUUCUGAAUGGAAGGGCCAUCGCUCAACGGAUAAAAGGUACUCCGGGGAUAACAGGCUGAUACCGCCCAAGAGUUCAUAUCGACGGCGGUGUUUGGCACCUCGAUGUCGGCUCAUCACAUCCUGGGGCUGAAGUAGGUCCCAAGGGUAUGGCUGUUCGCCAUUUAAAGUGGUACGCGAGCUGGGUUUAGAACGUCGUGAGACAGUUCGGUCCCUAUCUGCCGUGGGCGCUGGAGAACUGAGGGGGGCUGCUCCUAGUACGAGAGGACCGGAGUGGACGCAUCACUGGUGUUCGGGUUGUCAUGCCAAUGGCACUGC